rnacentral:lncRNA from 1 species
UUUAUUUUAUUAAAUAUCUGCUGUGGUUUGUAUUUAACAGGGGAAGGAGCCAUGUUCGGUUCCCUGUCCACAUGCAAGGACAACACCUCCAGCUUCUUCUGCUCUGGCAGGUAAAGAAGACUUUGAGUUGUUGAGUCUUUAUUUUGCAUUUGUAGCGCUGACGUUGGUUCGUGCGUGUCCCUCAGUGGUCGUGGGUGUCACUUCCUUCACCUCCACAAGGGGGCGUGUCAGACGGACCCGUACCUGGAGGGUUGCCAGGUCUAUAAAAUCCUGCACAACGGAAGUGAAUGUUGGAAAAAGGAAAACAAGCUUCAAUCGGCUCAGAACCUGAGUGGGGAGGUUUUCGGUUCUGACAGCAGAUGCUUCUUCUCCAACCUGACCAGACAGAAUCACAGUCCUCCUCCAUCCUUCAGCAGCCCAGUGGUCGGCUGCUGUUACAGACACAGGUGUACUGGACCGAACCAGUACCAGAUCCAAGUGUCAGACUCUGAUUGGCUCGACUGUCCAGCAGGGAGAACAGUCCAGAUAAACGGGUACUGGGGCUUCGUUUUCUGCCCUGACAGGAGGUUGUGUCUGUUCCCUGACGUUUCUCCUCCCUCCGGUGACAUCAGCGCGGUUCCCGCUUCCACCUUCAGGCAUCUACGACUUUAAACCAGCAUCCUCCUGGUUUGUUCGGACCUGUAAUUGACUCUAACUUGACAGAGCUGUGUUUUUCCUCACAGCUCUGUUUUUCCGUCUGGGACGUCGGCCCACGGGACCUUCAGAGCUGCUGCAGAGGUCACGGCCGUCUCAGCGCUGAGCUUCACUGCUGCUGUGAGCGUCCUGGCUGCCGCUGUGGCCUGUGUGAGGAAGUGUGGCAGCCGCAGGAUGAGGAUCCGCUCAUCUGGAGAUGACGCAGCCGACCCGGAACCCGGGGGCCGGAAUGUAUAGCUACUGGAACUUCAAUGUGAUUUAGACUCAAUCUAGAAUCUAUAACUAAAAAAAAUAAUUAAAAAUGAAUCAAAUGUUUUGUUUUCUUAGGGUCUCACUUGUUGUCAACAACACAAAGCAGAAGCACAAACCCAGUUAAAAUCUAGUAUAAUUGGCUGUGAACAGGCCUUAUAAAUAAAUUAUAAAUUCAUAAAUGAAUGGAUAUGGAC